rnacentral:tRNA from 1 species
GGGGUUGUGGCUCAGUGGUAGAGCGCUUGCCUAACAUGUAUGAGGCCCUGGGUUCGAUCCUCAGCACCACA